rnacentral:rRNA from 1 species
GUCUGCUCAAUGAUUUUUUAAAUUGCUGUGGUAUUUUGACUAUACAAAGGUAUUGAAAUAAGACUUUAAUUGAGUGCUAAGAGAAUGGAAAUACAGAAAAAUUCUUUCUUGAAUUCAAAAAUUGAAGUUAUUUUUAUAUGUGAAGAAACAAUAAUGAAAAUUAUUGACAAGAAGACCCUAAGAAUUUUUUUAAUUUAAUUAAAAAAUUUUUUAAUUAAAUUCUUUAAUUGGGGCGAUUAAUAAAAAUUAAAAACUUUGUUUUUUAAAAAAGAACCAAUAAUAAUGUUAAAGCGGCUC